rnacentral:misc_RNA from 1 species
UACGGAGGGUGCAAGCGUUAAUCGGAAUAACUGGGCGUAAAGGGCAUGUAGGUGGAAAGACAAGUCGGAUGUGAAAUCCCUGGGCUCAACCUAGGAGUUGCAUACGAUACUGUCUAUCUUGAGUAUGUUAGAGGGAAGAGGAAUUCCCGGUGUAGCGGUGAAAUGCGUAGAUAUCGGGAGGAAGAUCAGUGGCGAAGGCGUCUUCCUGGGACAAUACUGACACUGAGGUGCGAAAGCGUGGGUAGCGAACAGG